CACGUUACUCAGUGUGCCCUGUGCCAGGACUGUGCCAGAAAUCCAUCAGCUCAUCCUCAACAGAACCUGCUGUGCCAAGGCAGUCUGCCCUCAUCCAUCCAAGCAUGUCCCCCAUAGAGAAGAACUUCUACAGAGCUGAAUCACAGAUGCAGAAGAUACAUGGAACAUCCCAUGGACGAUGGCAAAUGAUUUGAUUCUCCUACCAGCUGAACAAAGAAGCGGCCUCACCCACACAGACAAAUAUCUGGUAGCUCACAAGCCCCAGAGCACCCUGGACAAGACGAGUCACUUUCCCAUAAAAGGGCUGCCAGGCAGGCAGGUUUCUGCCUGCAUUUGCAGUAAGAGCAGCCUGGAAACGAUGCAGGCAGAGUUCGGUGGAGUUACGCCAGCUUACACUGCUAAGCAUCUAACCUAUAAAUCUUAUUAAUAACACUACAAAAGCCAAAGCCUGGAAAUGGGGAUGAAGGUGUGAUUCCGCAUUGGUGAGGAAGUUGUACGUGGCAAGGAGAGCAUACCUCUGCUGGGGGAUAUCGGCUGACUCACCUCUACAAUGCAGCAAGCUGGAUUCACCUACUUGACACCAGUUUGCUUUGCUGCUCCUUCUGGGUACUGAGCCCCGGCUGGCUUACUUACACAGAGUGCUGAUGUUACAGUAUGACUCAGCAAACUACAGCUGGUAAGGAAGAUGUUUAAUUUACCUUAAUUUAAUGUAAAUAGUUGAGGAAGACUAAGCAUCUGUCAACUGGAAGGAAAAAAAAAAAAGGAAAAAAGACAUUUAUAGAGUGCAGAAGUAAAGGC
ensembl:lncRNA